rnacentral:lncRNA from 1 species
CUCCAUUCCUCCUCCAGAAAAUUCAGUCAUUCCCUGAGAGUCUCGGUUUAUCUGAGCUAGUAACAUUGUCUGCCUCGCCGAGAAAUUUUCCAACAAUUCCUCCGUCCGACCACCAUGCACCAGGACAGGAAACGGCCGCCUCAGCGCCCGCCCGCCUCAGCGCCGCCCCGAGCCGCGCGGGCGGGCUCUGCGCCCCGAGCUCCCGCCGCUCCCAUUGGGCGCGCGGCGCCGCGCGGCACCGCCUCCGCUCGCCAUUGGGCGCCUCCAGGCCCCGCGCCGAUGCCCAUUGGCUAGACGCCCGCGGCCCCGCCCCGCGGCUUCAUGGCGGCUCGGCUAUGCUGGGUUCGGGGCCGCCGCGGCCGCCAUUUUGUACCGCGGGGAGCGAGGCGCUCGCGCGUCAGUAGGGGAGCGGGCGCCAUUUCCUGCUCCGGGCAGCGCGCCCGGCGGCGGCGGAGCCCGUCGCGGGUCCCUCGGCCGGGGGCGGAACGGAGCGCGGCGGGCAGGGGGCGGCCGCGGACGGGGUGCCGGGAGCAGGGCCGCCGGCAACGGCCGAGAGGGAACGCGGGCUGCGGCCGGGCCUCGCGGCGACGGGCUCCCACCGCGGGCACGGGCUCCGGGCGGACCCGAGCGCACGGGGCUGGGGGCGGGCAGGGCCGCGCGGCGGGGCCGUGUGUGCCGCGGCGUCUGUGCCGGCCGCCUCCGGGUGCGCUGUGCUCCGCCGCCGCUUCAGCCCGGCUCCUGCGGAGGAAGGCGUUCUAUAAAGCAGCCCUGAAGGAUGCUCGUCCCGGGGUGACUUUAGGAGCGUGGUAAUCCGGCAGCAGCUCCAGAGGCAGCUAAAGCGCGUGGCAGAAAAGCCGUAGGUCGCUGCUGUGCGCUGUGGGCGCGGGCCGGGCGGCGUUGCGGCACCUCGGGGCACCGCCGCUCCGUGCGGCAGCCUGAGAGCGACCGAACGUCCUCGGCUGGGAUCAGAGACUCCGCGUGAGGAAGGAAUAGAAGACACGUUAAGAAAAGCAGGCCAAAAUGGGCCGUGAAGCUUAACGGUGCUUCUCCAGGAGCCGAUAAUUGCAAAAAGGAGGAAAUUUCCUUUAGGAAGAUGCAGCUUAACCCGUGCAAUUUACUACCGGCUCUCAAUCAGUCGGCACAGCUGAAAGCACCUGGGUGUGUGCGCAGUGCUUUGUAAUUACUCCACUGCACAGCCGAGUCUUGUAAAUCCAAGGCUGACACAUCUGACCAUAGCUUCGAUGUCCUGCACCAAAACCUCCGUUCUUUUAAAAUAAUGGUUUAGGAAAAAAUAUGCUAUCAAGCUUACACAACAGGUAAAAAGUACGUCAGAAGCGUUUGAGAGGGGAAACCAAACCUCAGAGCUAAGCAGCAGAACUAACUGCUGUCAGACUGCAGCUGUGUUCCAAACACCGCACCAAAAUGAGCACAGAUGGAGGAUUUGCUCCAGAUGUUUAUCUUCCAUUAUAGAAAAAAAAACAGAGGCUUUAGAUUUCCCAACUCUUCCUGUAGAAUUGCAUUACCCCUGAAAAAUGGAAUGGAUAAGUGCAAGUUGUAGGAGAAUCUGCAUCACCAAAACUGAAAUGGUGCACCACGAAAUGCACCAUCACCACCACCAACGUACAACUGUUCUGCAGUUUAUCUAAGUACAUUUCUUGGAGCAAAGUUGGAGGAUCCAUUCUUAUGAAAGCUGUUCCUUUCUAUUCAGUUAACACAUAAAAGCACCCCUGAAGUAAGGCCAUCCUCACAUCAAGAUAAACUUCCUCCCUUGAUGUAGAAAAAUAGAACUUUCAGAAAUAACAAUGGCGCUAAAUGGGUAAUUUUCCCUCUUUUUCCAUCUGCUUUGUACGUGCAGCCUUCUUGCUGCCGUGUUGCAUUUCCUACCACGAGGCAAAAGUAUCAGCUGGCCUAAAAAUGUUCUCAGACUUUUCCGGAGGGCAGGAAGCAUAACGAGAUAAGCAGAUACCCAACAAGCAGAUGUUCAGAAAUGAUUCAAGUCCAACUGGGCGUUUUUUCAAGGUCAAGGAAGGCACAGGAAGACCCAUUCUGUGAUUAUACAUCACCUUUUCCUACAAGAUAGAACUGUUAAUAGAUGAGGCCAGAGGACACCUGUGGGUGCUCAGGAGUUAUGCAUUUUCUAGUACACAGUACUUGGCCAGUCAGCUUAGGGCUCACUAAGUACUACUGUGGCUCGCAUACCACUAGCCUAACAGCUUGGAUUCAACACUUAGGCUUUUUCCACCUCAGGUGCAAUAUCGAUCAAGUCUGCAAUUUGCUUCAAGUACCCCUUUGGUAUUAUUACAAUAGGGGAAAAGCAACAGCACAGUGCUGCCUCAGCCUCUCACACACCAGCACUCUGCGCAGGGAAAUGUUUUUCACCUAAGAAAGGCUGUCCACAGAGGAGGGAGUGGAUCAGCCCCAUGCACGUGGCUCGCAGCACAGCACGAGCGGUCCUGUAACAAGCAGAAGGCAGAGAACCAUGCCAGGAGAACAGUGCCAGUCAGCUCAGCAAGGGGACCCCACACCGCCAAUUCCAGCUACGCUGCUGAUGCAAAAAAACACACCACACAAACCAAUUUUCUGAAGACUGCAUUUUGAGUAUCAUAAUAUAUAUAUGUGCAUUUCAUUUUUACAGAUAUAAACUCAGUUUAUUUUUAACCUGUAUUUAAAUUUUGGAGGCUUACAUUAAAUUAAGGUAGCUCGUUUAAUAUCAAUUGUAACAGCAGGUGACAUUUUUUAUAUAAAAACAGCCAAAAGAAAAAAAAAACAUUUGAUUUAAAAGACCUGACACCAAUGAUCUCAAGGCAAGAUCAAAAACCUAUGGAUUUAUGCUUUAAGAAAAGAAAGAGGGGGCAUUUGAGCCAACCCGUUCACAGCAUCUCCCUGCUGGCUUCUUCAUACAGUGGUUUCGAUAGUGGUCCCAGAGGGAACUGUAUUUUGCCUCUCUAGCUAAAAUACUAGUUACUAUAGCAACUUUGAAAGAAGAAAAUUGUGGCUUCAAAAAAAUGGAAGAUUGGCAAAACUUCAAAUACACUGUCUGGAUCAGGCAGACAAUCGUACACUAACACUGGGAGUGCACUUGCACUACCACGUUUGGGGGGCAGGGGGGAAAAAAAAGGUUCUGCAAAAUUAAUGGGAAAAAUUGCAUUCAUAGAUCAAAGCCCAGGUUAGCCAAAUUAUUAUUUUUUUUAAUAGAUUGCAUAUAUAGAUGUUUCAUCCACACACUUCAAUCAACUCAUUUAAGAGCAGAACUUCACAUCUAAUUUACAUGCUUCAGAAAAGAUCACUUUCUCAGUGCUUACAAUGAACAUUUGUAUCCAAAUUGUAACUCGUACAGUGAGAUCUUUAAGAAAAACAAAGGACACAGAGGGUGUUGCUAUUUCUUUCUUUUUUAGCAGCAAUGAAAUAUCACUAACCCCUUUUUUACAGAACCGAAUUCAAGUCACAACCAGAGGUGACUGCACCACAAAGUCACCAGGUACAAAACUGCUAGUUCAUUUUAAAUUAAUAACUUGAAAUUAUUUUCCCCAAUACAUCCCUUCUUUUUUAUUUUUAUUUUUUUAUAAACAGCAAACAUUUUGCUAUUUUUGUACAUAGGCUAGCAGGCUUGUUUCAAUAUGAAAGUGCUAAUUCAUUUACAGAUUUAUCAGUUAUGUAGUGCUACAUUAAGUGUCCAAUAUUCUACAUAUGAACAAUCUUGAUAAAUGGAAACGAUGAAGAUUAAGUAAGGCUAUUCGAUUACCUUAUUUACACUGAAAGAAUAGACACCCAAAUAAGGAAGGGAGAAAAGGGAAGUUGGGCAAAUACUCAUACCGCCACAGGUGUAAAAAUUAAGUCUGCCUCCUAACUUGUACUGUAAAUGAGAUUUUCGAUAGUCCUGCAGCCCAUGCCUAUGUUUUUUUUUCCUCAGAAAAAGAAAAGCUGCCUUCAUGACAUCCCUCUUGAUUUCCGAUUUCCAAAGUGUGUCAUUUGAAGCUUUAAAUUCAGAUUCUUCCUAUCUUCAAAAAAACCCUCUGGUUUGCUUUCCAGUAUUAGAUUGCAUGAUCAGGUCCCACAUCUGGGGCUUUUGUCCAACCUAUUUAUCAAUUAGUUUAGAGUGAGCUGUAGAUAACAUGAACCAAUUCUGGAACCACUAUUGGGAGGAACACAAGCUCUUCACUACAAUCACACAGUAGCAGGAAAAGUGAUAAUUCAAUUCAUUCCUGGGGCAGGGCCUCCAAAAUUAAACGAAGUUGGCACGACUGGAGCAUUGAAUUUGUAUCCUCCAUGCUUUUCAAUCAUUUUGGAUUCAUGUGCUGCCCGCCUCUGAUCUGCCAGAGUUGCUAUGUCCUGCAAUUGUUUCCUUUGUUCUUCAUUAAGGCCCUGUGUCAAAGUUUGGUACCACACAGGGUUACGAUUCUGAAUUGUCUGAAAAAUGGUUUUAAAUAUCUGAUAUUCAUCAACAGGGUUGUCUUCAUCAUCAAUAAUUGUAGAAUAGCCUUCCAAAGCAGUCUCUUCAGCAUCAUCUUCUUCCCAGUCUUCGUCAUCUCCAUCUUCACCUGCCUGUUUUGCUAGAAUUUCUAGAUAUUCUUGGCCAUCCUCAUCAAUGUCAUCUUCAUCACUCCCCAAUUCCUCUGUUUCCUCAUCUUCUUCAGCUUCAUCAUCAUCAUCACUGUCAUUUUCAUGCUCCGCAUGGCAGGCAUAAGCUCUUUUUAAUCCAUUAAAUAAAAGGAUAAAAGCUGGCAGGAUCUGGCCAGCAACUUGAUUUAAAACCUGUGGUAUUUGCUCCAGAUCAAUGAGAGCACACAAGCCAAGCACGCACAUUUUCCUGUCGUGAAGUCCCAAGAAGCAGUCCACAUCAUUAAGCCACUGUGUUAUGAAGUGAUUAGUGACAGGCUCCACAUUAUUGGGAAAACGAAGAUUUUCCAAUGUAUUUAAUAAUAGAUGAGGAUUGUAAUACAAAGCAGCUAUGGCAACCUGGAGGCACAUUGUUCGUAGUUCACUUGUUUUCACUUCUCUGGUCAAUCUCUCUAAAGCAGCUUCCACAAAUAAGGGUAUGCACUGAUCAAUUCCACGCCCUUUACAUUGAAGAAUAAUUACUUCUAAUAGUUUUGCUGCAUGACACUCUGCAUCUUCUCCAGCAACUCCUGUCAGAACCUUCUUGCACAUACUGUAGAUCAUUUCAAGGUAUUUUGUGUCUGACAGAAGUGUAUCCGUAUCAACAGUAACAUAAUUAUGUAAGAGAGGCAUCAUAUCAGUAAAAUAAUCAAAGCCAUCCUGCUGAAAGACUUCAAAAACAAGAGGAAGAAGCUGCCACAUUUGUGCAGAAACUUGUUGACAGGUCAAACUAUGAGCCAAGGAAAAUAUCUCCUCGUAGAAUUCUAAUACGUGCUGCUGCAGAACUGUUCCAAUCACUUGCAAGCAGAUCCCUUCCAGCUGCUGAGUAAUUUCCUUGUGAUCUUCAACUACACUGAGAAGUGUAUCGAUAGUAUUCAAAAUUCCCAUUGCUGUCACUGCUUUGUCGUCACUGCCCUCUUCAUCAGGUCCAGUCUGGAUCACCUGGUUAAACGUCAUUGCCAAGUGCUGUGUCAUUUCUACUGCAAUUGGGGUAACCUCUUCACUAUAUUCACAGAUCAUCUUCUGAAUCACAUUAGUAAGAUCAUCAUUUUCAGUCUCCCUUAUAAUAUGAAGUAAAGCUUGCAUUACAGGCCUAAUGAAUGGGGUGAUAUAUUCUUUAGCUUUCUCUUGAUUACUGAUCAGAACUUGUAGUGCUAUUGCAGCUUCUACUUUCACAGGCAUUUCCCUAUCAUCUAUCAGACACCGUCUUGUGAGUUCCAGAGCUGUUUGGAGAUUCUGGUCACUCUUAAAUUUGACUUCACAAAAAUAAUGAAGAACCCAACAAGCCUGAAAAGAAUGACAUUGAGUAACGUUAGUGCUAUGAAAUGAAAAACAGGACUACUGACUAUCCACAUUCCCAGAACCCAUGCAAAUUCUUAAAUGUCAAAUAGAACUAAUGUAGAGUAACAAUACCAUAGAACAUAGGAUGAAGAUGUUUGAGAGUAUGGAGGCUGGCCAGUGGGAGGCAUGUCAUUCAGACGUCACUAGACCAGUACUAUGAUCUCAAGUUCAUCUUUGGCCACAGGUUUUGUGUGAGUAGUACAGUCUAAAUGUAGAACACAAAUAGACUAUACCACCAGACACAGAUGAACAACUAUGCACACAGUACUGCAGCCAUUUCAUAGCUACACAGUAGCUGUCCAUAAUCAUAUACAAAGACUAAUCACUGAUACAAGAGUUCUUUUAUUGCAGGUACAGAAAGAAAUGCACUCGUUAAAGGAAAAAGUAACUUAAUAUUCCUUAACUCUUGAGCUAGGAAAAUGUAAAUCUUAACAUUAAAUCUUAGGUUCUC